rnacentral:lncRNA from 1 species
ACCGUUAUUUUUACCAUUAUUAGACUUAUUCUUUUCCCUUAUGCACUUUACUCAUUUCCAUUAUGCAUUUUUAAAAAAAAGGGAUUAUUUUUCAUUUUUAUGCAUUCUUUGAUCAUUUUCCUUGUUAUUUCUCAUUUUCACUAUCAUCAUAUUUUUUUAUUUUUUCUAUCCAUUAUUAAUAUGUCCAAUUCAAAUUUCAUUUUGUCCAAAAUAUUUACUCAAGCAACACACUCUCAAACAAAAAAG